rnacentral:lncRNA from 1 species
UUUAUAGGUUCUCCCACUAUUUUAUACGAAUUGGUAGCCUCUACCUCCAAUUCAAAGAAUUAUCUUAAUUUCUUAGUAGGUACUAGAAUCCACAUAGACUGCAUACGAGCCCGAUUUUGACCGGCUCAUCCAUGUGCAUCUAUAGGUAGGUUUUUUAACUAAUUAUUUCAUCAAAUAAUUUUUAGUAAUUGAUUUAGCCCCAGAUAACUUUUCAGUUGACUUUGGUCUUCUCUACAAGCCCUGGUCAGGUCCAACUAUUAACAUGAUCAUACUUAAGAAUAUAACCACUAAAUGAUCAGACCCAAUUUUGACUGGCUGAUCUGACCACUUGCUAGAAAAACUCGACUUAGUCAUCAUAUUAUGAAUGAUAAUU